CAGUAGCCACGGUAAUACAGAGGGUGCGAGCGUUAAUCGGAUUUACUGGGCGUAAAGCGUGCGUAGGCGGCUUUUUAAGUCGGAUGUGAAAUCCCUGAGCUUAACUUAGGAAUUGCAUUCGUUACUGGGAAGCUAGAGUAUGGGAGAGGAUGGUAGAAUUCCAGGUGUAGCAGUGAAAUGCGUAGAGAUGUGGAGGAAUACCGAUGGCGAAGGCAGCCAUCUGGCCUAAUACUGACGCUGAGGUACGAAAGCAUGGGGAGCAAACAGGAUUAGAGACCCGUGUAGUCCCUGUCUCUUAUAC
rnacentral:rRNA from 1 species